GUGAUGUGAUGGUGGUGUGAUGGAGGUGUGUGAUGUGAUGGUGGUGUGUGAUGUGAUGGAGGUGUGUGAUGUGAUGGUGGUGUGAUGGAGGUGUGUGAAUGUGAUGGAGGUGUGUGAUGUGAUGGUGGUGUGUGAUGUGAUGGAGGUGUGUGAUGUGAUGGAGGUGUGUGAUGUGAUGGUGGUGUGAUGGAGGUGUGUGAUGUGAUGGAGGUGUGUGAUGUGAUGGUGGUGUGAUGGAGGUGUGUGAUGUGAUGGAGGUGUGUGAUG
ensembl:lncRNA